CUACUAGUUAGCUAGUGCGCAUUUUAUGAUAAAUAAUGUGAAAUUGUCAAUUAUCUCAUCUCUUUGAUUGAUUUCUGCCUUAUUAACAUGAACUAGUCACUAAUGUAUUGGCUUAGUAUUGCAUUUAUCAUAAGAAUUCAAUUUUUUUUUUCUUCCACAUAUGUGGGUAGAUUAGAAAUCUCCGUAAAUGUCAGUGGAAACGAAUUUUUUAAUUGAUUUCAGUAGACCACUGGACUGUACCAUACAAAUUUAUAUAUUUUGAUUCUCCACAAACUUCAGAUAAUUAAGAUAUCAUGCCAAUAUUCAUACCAACAUAUACUUAGAAAUUCUAUGAUGAAAUCAUGAACUUGUAACAAGACUGUAUAUAUACUACACAAGCCAAUAUGUAUUACGAAUUUCAAAUGAGUAUAAUCUUUGCCGACAGUGUCGUGUAGCCGGACCCCACUAAUAAAGGUGACAAAAAAUUAACUAACGAAGAGUAGUUUUACACGCUUGGAUAUUAUCGAUAUAAGCAGCGAGUGCGCCAUUGGAGGAUAUGAGGGGAAGUUGGAUUGAUAAUUGAUUAGCUACAAAAUGUGGGUCAAUAUAGAUGUCAUUUUCUCACCGAAAGCCCCGUUAAACACGCAAGCGUGGUUUGUUUGGUUUUUCUCCAAAUUAAUAGGCCCCUCAAAAUGCAUUAACAUCGCCCACAAACGAACCCUAGCAACCAUAGCUAGUAGCCUAGCCAGUAUCGCAAAUAUCUUGCCCACUUAAAUUCUCUUUCUUUACUCCUUAUUUAUGUUAGACUAAGAUCAAGAUUUAACCUAAUCUCAAUCCCCAAGAACACUAUCACUCACUGGUAUCUUGAUCAAGAAUGAUUGAUUAGUGAAUAUGAGAACAAAAUAAACUAAAAUCAAAGAUAAAGAAGAAAACAGAACAAAGAAAAUUAUAGAGGUCAGCCUCUCAUGGCUUACAUUCUCUUGAGACUUAAGAUUAUGCUUGAUUUCAUUGACGCAAAGAAUCAGAUAUAAGCUUUCUUGAGAUUACAAUGAAUUGGAUACAACUAAUCACAGUCACAAAGGCCUUUUAUAUAGUCCUGAAAGCUUCUAGAAAGGUUGCUCAAAAAUCAGCCUCUGAUUUUGGGUUUGUUCGCAACAAAUCAAGAACCUUUCACACUUUUCAUAAUGGCUUUUAACAUACUUCUCCCACGUGCACAACAUAUGCAAGUUUAAGUGAUCAAAACGACACAUAUUGCUUGUUGUUUUGAGCCUGAAUUGGUUAAGUAGUCACAUGGCAUGUCACAUGGCUUACUUAGCAAAUUCGUUUGACAUGAGAACCUUGUCAUACACUUCAAUUAUGCUUCCAGCUGGCAUGUCAUCUCUGACUUGUUAUCUUUCCCGACAAUGUCGUUUGUUUCUCAUACUUGAUUCUGGUUUACCCUCUAACAAUCUUCACCUUGAACCUGAAUCUAUACAUUUCUGUUGUCCAUUCUUCUCUUCCAUCUGCAACUUUACUUUCUAUAGAUAUUUGCCAAAUCUAAGCAAAGCUCAAACUUAACACUUGGAAUUGAUUUAGUCAACAUGUCAACUAUGUUGUUGCUGGUAUGAAUCUUUAAUAGCUGAAUAAUGCCUUUGGAGACUUCAAGUCUGAUAAAAUAGAGCUUGACAUCAAUGUGUUUAGUCAAUAUGUUCAGUUUUCUCAUGAUGAACUUGAUUCUUGCUUAAAUAUAUAGCACUUUGGCUAUCACAUAAGAAUUUAACUGAAGAUAAUGGAUGCCCCAAUUCACUUAACAUGCCUCUCAGUCAUAUUGCUUCCUUGAAUGCCUCUGCAGCAGAUUUGUACUUAGCUUUUGUAGUUGAUAGAGCCACUACAUUUUGUAAUGUAGCUUUUCAGCUAAUGGUACAAUUAUCGACAGUAAACAGAUACCAUAUGAGCGAUCUUUUAUUGUGAAGAUUCCCAACAUAAUCUGAGUCAACAUAUCCUACUACCAAGCUCUCAUCUUGCCUUUUACCUCCAUACGUUAAACUAUAGCUUAAUGUUCUUCUUAGGCACCUCAAUAUCCAUUUUACAGCCCUUCAGUUCUCCUUACCAGGAUUAGCCAUAGAUCUGCUGACAAUGCUGAUAACAUAAGCAAUGUCUGGCCUUUUUAACACCAUUGUAUACAUGAGGCAGCCUACAACACUUGCAUAAGGUACCUUUGACAUUUCAGAUUUGUCUUGAUCUGCAACUGGACAUUGUUUGCUUGAUAAUCUGAAAUGUGUUGCCAAAGGUGUCUGUACUGUCUUGCAGUUUAUCAUUCUAAAUUUGUCCAAGACUUUAAUGAUGUAGCUCUCCUGAGAUAGAAACAGAGUUUUAUACCUUUUGCUCCUGAUCAACUAUAUUCCAAGUAUUUUCAUUGCUAAACCAAGGUCUUUCAUUUCUAAUUCAUGCUUCAGUUGCUGCUUUAAAAACUCUAUUUGGUUCAUAUCUCUACAUGCCAAUAACAUAUCAUCUAUAUAGAGUAUCAGAUAUAGUAUAUCACCUUCAUUGUUCCGCCUGAAGUAAACACAACAAUCAAAGCUACACCUCUGAAAGUUCAACUUCUGCAUUUGACUGUUAAACUUUAAGUACCACUGUCUCAGUGAUUGUUUUAGGCCAUAGAGUGAUUUCCUUAGUAAACAGACCCAAUUUGGUCUCUUAUGAUCAAGAAAGCCCUCAAGUUGAGAUAUUACAAUCUCUUCUUCGAGCUCACCAUGUAAAAAAAUAGUUUUGACAUCCAUAUGUUCAAGAUGCAUGUCUUCAACAACAACAAGUGACAGAAUUAUUCUGAUUACAGUGUGCCUUACAACUGGUUCAAAGACCUUGGUGAGGUCAAUCUCCUUUUUCUGUGUAAACUCUUUUAUAACCAACCUAAAUUUGAACCUUUUGGGUUCAACACCAGGUAUUUCAUCUUUGACUUUGAAAAACCACUUGCAGCCAACAACCUCCUUACUUUCUAGUUUCUUAAUUCGCUCUCAUGUUUUAUUCUUUUAAAGGGAUUCCAUAUCAUCCUGUAUAACCUUAAGCCACUGAGAUGAGUGUUGAUUUCCAAUAGCUUCUGUAUAGGUUUUUGGUUCAUCAUUCUCCCAUUCAUAUGUUACUGUCAGGGCAUAUGCAAUUAAAUUAGCAUAUCAUAACCUCACAGGUGCUUUCAAUGUCCUCUUUUGCCUAUCUCGUGUGAGCUACUAAUCUUGUAUGGAAGUCUAUCAUGUUGUUUGAAGAACAGUUUCAUCUGUAUUUAUAUUUUCUAGUUCCUUUUGAUCUUUAUCAUAUGUAUCCUUAUUCCUAAUUAGCUCCACCUCAAACUGUGAUUCAUCAGGCUCUGGAAUUUGUUGUAUAUUCUUAUCAGCAGAUGCUUGUGACUUCAAUGUUUCAGUCUCAAUGAAUAUCACAUCCUUGCUGAUUAUACAUAUUAGUGGCUGUAAGUUAGUAUACCAAAGUUUAUAGCUCUUAACCCCUUUAAAAUACCCCAGAAAAGCACAUUUGAAGGUUCUAGGUUCAAAUUUACCUUGUUUUGUAUGUGCAUAAGCAAUACAUCCAAAACCUUUUAGAUUUAAGUAAUUUGCAAGUUUUCCUAGCCAUAUCUCAUUAGGGGUUUUAAAGUUUAAAGUUGUUAAGGGACUCAUGUUUAUAAGAUAACAUGAUGUAUUUAAAGCUUCAGCCUAUAAUGGCUUUGGCAGCUUAGAAUAAAACAACAUACACUUAGGGUCAUAUUCAUUUUCUCUGCUAAUCCAUUUUGUUGGGGUGUGUUCCUGAUUGUCUUGUGCCUUAGGAUACCAUUUCUUGCACAAAGUUCAUCAAACUGUUUAUUAUAAAACUCUAGACCAUUAUCAGUUAUGAGGCCUCUAACUUUCCUGUUUGUUUGUGUUUCAAUCAACACUUUCCAGUUCUUAAAGCUGUCGUAGGCUUGAUCUUUACUCUUUUAUAGAUAAACCCAAACCAUCCUAGAAUAAUUAUCAAUCAAGGACAGAAAAUACCUAGCUCUACCUAGAGAUUCAGUCUGUGAAGGUUCCUACAGAUCUGCAUGUAUAUAAUCUAAAGUGUCUUUUAUUGAAAACACUUUCAGUCUUAAACUUGGUUCUUGAGGAUUUACUUAGGAUGCACUUCUCACAGACCCUGAAGCGCUUAUCUUAUCCUUCCCUAAAGCUCCAUGUCUUUCAAGUUCUUUUAACCCAUUUUCACUUAUGUGCCCCAACCUCAAAUGCCACAACAAUGUCUUCUAAUUUUCAGCAACAUUAACAUCAUUUGAUUUUGUUAUACCUUGUAAUAUUUAUAAACCAUUUAACAUGUCACCUUUCAUCAAUACCAUAAAGACCUAAAAGAAUUUUAACACACUGGCUUUAACUCUGAUAGUACACCUUGGCUCGUCUAGUAUGCUUAAGGAGAUUAAAUUCCUUUUAAGUUCAGGUACAUGCCUGACAUUUGGCAGUUCUCUUAUUAUGCCAUUAUGCAUUUUAAGUCUUAUAAAGCCUAUCUUAGUGACUUUACAAGAUGCAUUAUUUCCCAUCAUUACCUUACCACCAUCAUAUCGCUGAUAGAUAGUAAAAAGAUGUUUGUUUGGGCACAUAUGAUAUGCACAACCAAAAUCAAGUACCCAUUUACCUUCUGUUUGAUUGCUUGAGGCCACAAGAAUACCAACUGAGUCAUAAUCAUCUUCCUGCUCAUCAGAAACAACAGCAGCAUCUCCAUUCAUGUCUUUGCCCUUCUUAAGCUUGUUUUUUUAUUUCUAGACAGUCUAUUUUAAAGUGUCCUUCCUUGUGGCACUGAAAGCACUUUAAAGUCUUGUUCUUAGACUUUGAUUUUCCUUCCUUCUUGCCUUUCAAGUCAUCUCCCUUUUUCAAAUCUUCCUCUAGCUGUCAGUCCCUCAUAAUCUUUUGAUUUAGAUUUCUUUGAACUUUCUUUUAAGCUUAAAGCUUCUUUGACAUCCUGCAUGGUUAAAGAUUGCCUCUCAUAUAGUAAAAUGUCAACAAAAUGCUCAUAAAAGGGUGGUAAAGAUGACAACAAUAUAAUUACUUUGUCUUCAUUUUUACUCAUAAAAGGGUGGUAAAGAUGACAAUAAUAUAAUUGCUUUGUUUUUAUUUUCAACCUUCACAUUGAUAUCAUUCAAAUCUAAAAUGAUCUUGUUAAAGGCAUUAAUGUGAGCAGAUAAUGAACCUCCUUCCUCUAUCUGAAGGGUGUAUAAUCUUUUCUUGGUGCUCAAUCUCUUAGUAAGAGAUUUUUUGUGCAAAAAUCUUCCAAUUUUUUCCAUAGACUGGCAGCUGUCUUCUAAUCUCCCACAUCUCUCAUAACUCUAUCACCAAGGCUUAUAAUUAAUGUGUUGUGUGCCUUAUCCAUGGCAUCUUGAAGAUCUUUAUCUUUAAUCUUUCUUGGCCUCUUGGAACUUUGGCUUUCUUCCAAGACUUUUUCAAUACCCUGGUGUACUAAUAAAGCCCUCAUCUUGAGUCAACACAAGUGAAAAUCAUUCUCCCUUGUGAAUUUUUCCACAUCAAGCCUUUAAGUUGCCAUCCUUGAGUCAAGAAUUAGAGAUGUAAGCUCUAAUAUCAGUUUGUUAGACUAAGAUCAGUAUUUAACCUAAUCUCAAUCCUUAAGAACACUAUCACACACUGAUACAUUGAUAAAGAAUGAUUGAUUAAUGAAUAUUAGAACAAAAUAAA
rnacentral:lncRNA from 1 species